UACAGAGGUCUCAAGCGUUGUUCGGAUUCAUUGGGCGUAAGGGGUGCGUAGGUGGCGCCGUAAGUCAGGUGUGAAAUUUCGGAGCUUAACUCCGAAACUGCAUUUGAUACUGCGGUGCUUGAGGACUGGAGAGGAGACUGGAAUUUACGGUGUAGCAGUGAAAUGCGUAGAGAUCGCAAGGAAGACCAGUGGCGAAGGCGGGUCUCUGGACAGUUCCUGACACUGAGGCACGAAGGCCAGGGGAGCAAACGGG
rnacentral:rRNA from 1 species